UUUACAUUUGAGUGAGUGGCGAACUGGUGAGUAACACGUGGGAAACCUGCCCAGAAGCGGGGGAUAACACCUGGAAACAGAUGCUAAUACCGCAUAACAACUUGGACCGCAUGGUCCGAGYUUGAAAGAUGGCUUCGGCUAUCACUUUUGGAUGGUCCCGCGGCGUAUUAGCUAGAUGGUGGGUAACGGCUCACCAUGGCAAUGAUACGUAGCCGACCUGAGAGGGUAAUCGGCCACAUUGGGACUGAGACACGGCCCAAACUCCUACGGGAGGCAGCAGUAGGGAAUCUUCCACAAUGGACGAAAGUCUGAUGGAGCAACGCCGCGUGAGUGAAGAAGGGUUUCGGCUCGUAAAACUCUGUUGUUAAAGAAGAACAUAUCUGAGAGUAACUGUUCAGGUAUUGACGGUAUUUAACCAGAAAGCCACGGCUAACUACGUGCCAGCAGCCGCGGUAAUACGUAGGUGGCAAGCGUUGUCCGGAUUUAUUGGGCGUAAAGCGAGCGCAGGCGGUUUUUUAAGUCUGAUGUGAAA
rnacentral:rRNA from 1 species